UUUAACACUAGCUUUACCUGUCAAAUUCUGCUAGGUCUUCUCUGAAAACUGUUUUUUAAAAUGAUAUUGCUUGGUAAUAGUGCAAUUUCUAUCCCUUUCCCUCCCCCUCAACUUCAAAUUCCUUUGUAAUUUUGCCACCCUUUCCCUAAUUUUUUUUUGAGCUACUAUGCCAUCCUUCCUGUGUAAGGCAGUGACUGUCAGUGUUUUGUACUGCCAUGCCUUGACUUGUGGGUGUGUUUGGCAACAAUAAGGUGGUUGGGUAGAUUGGCUAAGCAUGCUUCCACCCACCAGUAUUCCUCAGAGGGGUUAUGUGAUUGUUUCAACCUGGAGUGGGUUGCACACUUAAUGCUUUCCUCUACAACUAUACCGCCCACAUACAUGUUCAUUCAAAAAAGAAAUAGCAAUUCUCAGCACUAACCCAGAAGUAGCAAAGCAGUCAGUGAUGGUGAAAAUUAGAAGUCAGACAUGAUCCAGUCACCUGUUUAUGGGCUGACAUCCACAGUGGCUAUGCCUGUAUCAUUUACAAAGCAUGAAUUCACUACAACACUCAACUGUUUAGAUUGACCUUAUUUGGGGAAUUUACUCCUGUCUGCUGUAUAGUAGGUAGCUGAGUAGGAUAUCUCAACUUUUUAAAUUAGUUCUUAACCUCCAUUGGCACUUCUAUUUUUUGGUGGUUGUUUUGUUUUUGUUUUGUUUUUCUCAAGUAACCCUAGUUUGGUUUGGUGCUAGACACUAUUCAGUCAUAGCACCAGACUGACCCGCAGAAUUGGGGUUAUUUCAUCUGUCCUUUCAAAAAAAGGAAAACACAUACACAAAAGUUUAAUACAUCUAGAAAGUUUUUUUUUUUAAUUAAAAGCUAUUUAAAGAGAUGAAUGUGGCCAAAGUUUUACACAAUUGAAAAUAAAGUAAGACAGAUGGCAUGUGUUUAAACCUGAGUUUAUCAGGCAUGGCAGGAAGUUGCAAGAGAGUGAGGCAAUGACCCAAGCCAGUGCACUUGAUGUUCAUGGACAUAUAUUUUUUUUAAAUAAUAAAUUAAAUUAAUACAUUUUAAAUAGAAGCAUAAAUUGAGUUGGUUGGUUGUUGGCGCUGAGAUACUGCCCACUGUGAAACAAAGCUUUGACUAGUUUUUUGUUUGUUUACUUUCUUCAGGGGGGAGGGGGGGACAAGUUUGGGUAGGAAAGAAAGCAUAAAUGAACGUGACCCUGAGGUGAAGAGGUAUAUGAACAGCCUUUGCAAUGUAUAAAAAACAAAAAAACACACAAAAAAACCCACAAAAAACAAAAAAAUAGAGCAAGUGAAACCAAAAAUGAUGUUCUUGGUGUUUUUCUAUAAUGUAGUCUUGUUAGCUUUUUUGUUACUGUAACAAUGCUGAUCUCGAACUGUACCAAAAUACAUGGAGAGUAACAAACAGAACCACAUGGAACUUUCAAACUGAAAAAAGAAAUUUGUCACAAAAACUUUGUUGUCAUAGUUAAGUUGAUUGUAGAUGGUAAUUGAAUAUACUCCUUUGAAAUAUUUCAUCAAGUAUGUUUCCUGCUCAUUGUGAUACAUUAAAAAAAUAUGAG
rnacentral:lncRNA from 1 species